UUUAUGGAGAGUUUGAUCCUGGCUCAGGAUGAACGCUGGCGGCGUGCCUAAUACAUGCAAGUCGAGCGAACGGAUGAGAAGCUUGCUUCUCUGAUGUUAGCGGCGGACGGGUGAGUAACACGUGGAUAACCUACCUAUAAGACUGGGA
rnacentral:rRNA from 1 species